rnacentral:rRNA from 1 species
GAUGAACGCUAGCGGGAGGCUUAACACAUGCAAGUCGUGGGGCAGCGCAGCGUAGCAAUAUGCGGGCGGCGACCGGCGCACGGGUGAGUAACGCGUAUGCAACCUACCCUGUACAGGGGGAUAACCCGGAGAAAUCCGGACUAAUACCCCAUAGAUACGCGACCGGGCAUCCGGACGCGUUUAAAGCGGCGACGCGGUACGGGACGGGCAUGCGUAACAUUAGCUAGUUGGCGGGGCAACGGCCCACCAAGGCGACGAUGUUUAGGGGACCUGAGAGGGUGAUCCCCCACACUGGUACUGAGACACGGACCAGACUCCUACGGGAGGCUG